CUUAGACUUGUGGUGGAUGACGUUUGAAUUCGCUUCCAAAGGUGAAGCGUUUCAUCAACGAACAUCUUCCAGAGUAUCCUGAUGUUGAGAUAAAGUACAUAGGGGGCAAGGAUCCUGAGUUGCUGUUUUUGGGUGAAGAUGGUCAAAGUGUGGAGGAGCGUGUCAGUGUCAUUAACAUGUCUGAGGAUGAGAUUAAUGCACUCCUUGAGUCUAAAGGUAUUCUAAAGCACAAUGCUACACCCGAAGGAGAGGCAGACAAUGGUGCUGAUGAACCUCAUCAAGAUUUAUAAACAAAUGCUUCAAAGUUUUGUAGACUAAUAAUUACUUAAUUCUAACCUCUCAUUUGUACAUGCAUAACUGAACUGAUUAACUCUGUCAAUUUGUGGUUGUUGCCUAUAUAUGUAUAAUGAUGUGACCAGCAUAAAGAAUGUUUCUGUUGGUUGCUGAUGUUUUAUUACAUGAUAAGGUAGCAAUGCAGGCUUUUGGUGUAAUCAGAUCAGAAAAUUUAA